UCACAGUUACAUCUAAUAAACUAAUAAUAAGCUUUAUAAUUGAGAAAAUCAAUGGUUUCAGUAUCAAAUCAUAAGCUAGCUAGCCACCACUUCAAAUUAUGGGGUUUUUUUUUUUUUUUGUGUGUUAAUGCUAUAACUCAAAAUUAUUAACUUAGUAGCAAAUGGUGCUGCUAAAAAAUUGGAUAUACUGACAAUAUAACAUGGCCAAAUAUAGAACAAUUUAGAAGGUUUGGAAACUAAUCCGUUGGCCACUGAUAUUUUGUUCUCGUUG
rnacentral:lncRNA from 1 species